rnacentral:lncRNA from 1 species
CAGUUUCACCUUGAGGGCACUGAUCCUGGCGGCCUGGGCCCAAAUCCGAUCGCUGGAGCUCUUCUUGCAUUCCUCGAGCUCCUUUGCGAAGUUCACCUUCCUCCAGCUAUACUCCAUGAUCCCCUUCACAUAGAGACUCCGAAAGUGGGCGGCCUCAGCGGCAGCUUCAGAGUGACCUUCCCUCGAUUUACGGAGCUCGCCUUCCAUCUUCUUUAACUUCUUUGUCAGGUAAAGGACUUCUUUCUUCAGCCGC